UGGGGAAUAUUGCACAAUGGGCGAAAGCCUGAUGCAGCGACGCCGCGUGAGGGAUGACGGCCUUCGGGUUGUAAACCUCUUUCAGCAGGGAAGAAGCGAAAGUGACGGUACCUGCAGAAGAAGCGCCGGCUAACUACGUGCCAGCAGCCGCGGUAAUACGUAGGGCGCAAGCGUUGUCCGGAAUUAUUGGGCGUAAAGAGCUCGUAGGCGGUUAGUCGCGUCUGCUGUGAAAACUCAAGGCUCAACCUCGGGCUUGCAGUGGGUACGGGCUGACUAGAGUGCGGUAGGGGUGACUGGAAUUCCUGGUGUAGCGGUGGAAUGCGCAGAUAUCAGGAGGAACACCGAUGGCGAAGGCAGGUCACUGGGCCGCAAACUGACGCUGAGGAGCGAAAGCAUGGGGAGCGAACAGGAUUAGAUACCCUGGUAGUCCAUGCCGUAAACGUUGGGCACUAGGUGUGGGUCCAUUCCACGGAUUCCGUGCCGCAGCAAACGCAUUAAGUGCCCCCGCCUGGGGAGUACGGCCGCAAGGCUAAAAACUU
rnacentral:rRNA from 1 species